AAAGAAAUGAAGUAAAAUCAUAGUGUACUAUUGGAUCAGCAUUGAACAAUAUUUACAUAGAUAUGGUAACUAAAUGUGAACUAUAGACCCAAGCAAAGAUUGUGAUGUAAUUAUAUUUGGAAGUUGGAUGGGGAAUGUAAGAGAGUUAAACACUCUCAUAUAUCACAAGAAGAAGUUAUUAGAUACCAUUUGCAAUUCAUAAAUCAAAAGAGAACAAUACACCAUAAAAAUACAGAGGUAAUUACUAGAAGAGCUAAAGAAUUGAAAGUGCUUACUACUGGAGUUGACCGGGAACUAUUGUUUUUUGGUCACAAGUCUUAAAUUAUUAUUUUACUUAUUAAACUAUGUUUAAGAACAUAGUUUACGUUACAAAACAUGGAGUACUUUGAUAAAAAUUUUAAAAUAAGUCUAAUGACAUUAAAUAUUAAAAUCAUAAAUUUGAUAUAUAUUAAAUUCUAUAAUAGGUUGGGUUUUCUAGAACAUUUCAGACAUCUAUACCUUUAUCAGGUGGCAAGAUCUCUUAUCUAAGAGAAGCCAACCAACUAGACUUACUUUAAGACUGAGGACCACAAUAUAGUUACAGAUUUGAGUUACAGUAAGAUAUUCUGUACUGAGACACUGGUUCUGAGUUACUACUUCCAAGCUGAUUCUACCUAAACUCCAGGUUUUCAUGCCAGUUCCUUCUUAUAGUCUUUACCACUUUUAGAUGCAGGCAAGAGAGGCUCCUGCUCUAGUUUCAGCACAUAUCACGAAUACACAUUUAUUUUGAAAAACGUAGGUGCCUCUGUCACUCGGGAUUCUAUGCUCAGCACAGAACCUGCGUGACUUGUCCUAAACGUUUACUCUUGUGGUGAACACUCUUCAGCCCCAGGGCAACACUUCUCCACAACUUGUGCCCAGUGUCUGUGAAACAGAAUGAGAUGUGCUGCUGCCUGCGCUGGAGACAGAAUGCUUUGGAUUUGAGUGGCAGAGGGGCUUAGCCCCCUGGUACAUAGUUGUGUAUUUUUAGUUGUGGGUCCUUCUAGUUGUGCCAUGUGGGAUGCCGCCUCAACAUGGCUUGAUGAACGUGCCAUGUCCCCGCCCAGGAUCUGAACCGGCGAAACCCUGGGCACCGAAGAGGAGCACG
rnacentral:lncRNA from 1 species